rnacentral:rRNA from 1 species
AACGAACGCUGGCGGCAUGCCUAACGCAUGCAAGUCGAACGAGACCUUCGGGUCUGGUGCCGCACGGGGGCGUAACGCGGGGGAACCUGCCCUUAGGUUCGGAAUAACUUGCGGAAUGGGGUGCUAAUACCGGAUAUUGUAUUCGGUCCAAAGAUUUAUCGCCUUUGGAUGGGCGUGCGUGGGAUUACCUAGUUGGGAGGGUAAAAGCGUACCAAGGCGUGGAGCGAUAGCUGGUUUGAGAGGCUGAGCAGCCACACUGGGACUGGGCCACGGCCGGGAAUCCUAGGCGAGGCAGCAGAGGGGAAUCUUGGCAACUGGGGGAAAGCAUGAUGCAGCAAUGCCGGGUGAGUGAUGAAGGCCGGAGGGUUGUAAAGUUCUUUUACCCGGGAUGAUAAUGACAGUACCGGGAGAAUAAGCACCGGCUAACUCCGUG